AUUGAACGCUGGCGGCAUGAUUUACACAUGCAAGUCGAACGGUAACAGGCCGCCAGGUGCUGACGAGUGGCGAACGGGUGCGUAAUGCAUCGGAACGUGCCCCGUCGUGGGGGAUAACUACUCGAAAGAGUAGCUAAUACCGCAUACGAUCUAUGGAUGAAAGCGGGGGACCGUAAGGCCUCGCGCGAUUGGAGCGGCCGAUGUCAGAUUAGGUAGUUGGUGGGGUAAAGGCUCACCAAGCCAACGAUCUGUAGCUGGUCUGAGAGGACGACCAGCCACACUGGGACUGAGACACGGCCCAGACUCCUACGGGAGGCAGCAGUGGGGAAUUUUGGACAAUGGGCGCAAGCCUGAUCCAGCAAUGCCGCGUGCAGGAAGAAGGCCUUCGGGUUGUAAACUGCUUUUGUACGGAACGAAACGGCUCUGGUUAAUACCCGGGGCUAAUGACGGUACCGUAAGAAUAAGCACCGGCUAACUACGUG
rnacentral:rRNA from 1 species